AUUGAUUUGAGGGGGGAAAAUUAAUAAAUUAAUAUUAAUAAAAAAAUUUUUAAUAAAAUAUUUAAUGGGGGUUAAAGUAUUUUAUAAGAAAAAAUUUAUUAAUUUAUAAAUAAUUAGUAUUGUGAAAGAAUUUUGAAAUAUAUGAAAUAUUAAUUAGAGAAAAAGUAAUUUUAAUUUAAUGUAUCUUGGGUAUCAGAGUUUAUUAAAAAUUUAUUUUUAUUUAAAAAUUUCUCGAAUUUAAAAGAGAUAAUUAAUUAAAAAAGUUAUUGUUGCAUAAAUAUUUUUAAUAAUUAAUUGGAAAUGAAAUGUUAAUCGUUUUUAAAUAUAUCUAGUUUUUUUAGAAAAAAAUUCAAUUUUAAAUUUUUAAAAAGAAAAUAAACUUAAUUAAUUAAGUUUAUUUUAAAAAAGUUUUAUAUUUUAAGGGAUAAGCUUUAAUUUAAAUUUAUAUAUUAGAAAUAAAUUUAUAUUGAAAAUUAUAUAAUUUAUAUUGUUAAUAAUUUAUAAUUUAUUAUAAAUAAUUUCAUUUAAAAUAAAAUUUAAUAAAAAAAAUUAUAUUUUUAUAAAAAAAUAAUUUAAAAUAUUAAAAAAUUAGUUAUAAUGAUAAAAUUAGUAUAUAAAUUUAGUUAAAUUAUAAUUUUUAAGUAAAUUAAUUAAAAGGAAUUCGGCAAAUGAAAUAAAUAUAUUCACUUGUUUAUCAAAAACAUGUCUUUUUGAAAAUAAUAUAAAGUCUAAUCUGCCCACUGAUUUUAAUUGAAGGGCUGCAGUAUUUUGACUGUACAAAGGUAGCAUAAUCAUUAGUCAUUUAAUUGGUGACUUGUAUGAAAGAUUGGAUGAAAUAUAAACUGUCUCUUAAUUAAAUUAUAAAAUUUAAUUUUUUAAUUAAAAAGUUAAAAUAAAAUAAAAAGACGAGAAGACCCUAUAGAGUUUUAUAAAUAUUUUAAUUAAGAUUAUUUAUAUUAAUUAUUAAUUAAAAUUAAAAUAUUUAUUUUGUUGGGGUGACAGAAAAAUAAAAUAAACUUUUUAUAAAAUUAAUUAUUUACAUAGAUAAGUGAAUUAAUGAUCCAAUAAUAUUGAUUAUAAGAAAAAAUUACCUUAGGGAUAACAGCGUAAUUUUUUUUUUUAGUUCAAAUAAAAAAAAAAGUUUGCGACCUCGAUGUUGGAUUAAGAUAAAAUUUAAAUGCAGAAGUUUAAAAUUUUUGAUCUGUUCGAUCAUUAAAAUCUUACAUGAUCUGAGUUCAAACCGGUGUAAGCCAGGUUGGUUUCUAUCUUUUAUAAAUUAAAAUAUUUUAGUACGAAAGGAUUAAAUAUUUAAAUUAAAUUUAUUGUUUUGAAUAUUAAU
rnacentral:rRNA from 1 species